rnacentral:rRNA from 1 species
AGCAGCCGCGGUAAUUCCAGCUCCAAUAGCGUAUAUUAAAGUUGUUGCAGUUAAAAAGCUCGUAGUUGAAUUUCGGGAUCAAUGCGUCGGUCGUGCUUUCGGGUACGUACUGGUGUCAUUGGUUUCUCCUUUCUGACGAGCCGUGAUGUCAUUAAUUUGGUGUUACGGAUAGUUAGGACUGUUACUUUGAAAAAAUUAGAGUGUUUAAAGCAGGCUCACGCUUGAAUACAUUAGCAUGGAAUAAUGAAAUAGGACGUAUGAUCCUAUUUUGUUGGUUUCUAGGAUUGACGUAAUGAUUAAUAGGGAUAGUUGGGGGCAUUAGUAUUCAAUUGUCAGAGGUGAAAUUCUUGGAUUUAUUGAAGACUAACUACUGCGAAAGCAUUUGCCAAGGAUGUUUUCAUUAGUCAAGAACGAAAGUUAGGGGAUCGAAGACGAUCAGAUACCGUCGUAGUCUUAACCAUAAACUAUGCCGACUAGGGAUCGGAUGAUGUUAAUUUUUUAAUGACUCAUUCGGCGCCUU